rnacentral:rRNA from 1 species
AGAGUUUGAUCCUGGCUCAGGACGAACGCUGGCGGCGUGCUUAACACAUGCAAGUCGAGCGGUAAGGCUCCUUCGGGAGUACACGAGCGGCGAACGGGUGAGUAACACGUGAGCAAUCUGCCCUUCACUUCGGGAUAACUCCGGGAAACCGGUGCUAAUACCGAAUACGACCACUUCAGGCAUCUGAUGGUGGUGGAAAGUUCCGGCGGUGAAGGAUGAGCUCGCGGCCUAUCAGCUUGUUGGUGGGGUAAUGGCCCACCAAGGCAACGACGGGUAGCCGGCCUGAGAGGGUGACCGGCCACACUGGGACUGAGACACGGCCCAGACUCCUACGGGAGGCAGCAGUGGGGAAUAUUGGACAAUGGGCGAAAGCCUGAUCCAGCAACGCCGCGUGAGGGAUGACUGCCUUCGGGUUGUAAACCUCUUUCAGCAGGGACGAAGCGCAAGUGACGGUACCUGCAGAAGAAGCACCGGCCAACUACGUGCCAGCAGCCGCGGUAAU